GACGAACGCUGGCGGCGUGCUUAACACAUGCAAGUCGAACGGAAAGGCCCUGCUUUUGUGGGGUGCUCGAGUGGCGAACGGGUGAGUAACACGUGAGUAACCUGCCCUUGACUUUGGGAUAACUUCAGGAAACUGGGGCUAAUACCGGAUAGGAGCUCCUGCUGCAUGGUGGGGGUUGGAAAGUUUCGGCGGUUGGGGAUGGACUCGCGGCUUAUCAGCUUGUUGGUGGGGUAGUGGCUUACCAAGGCUUUGACGGGUAGCCGGCCUGAGAGGGUGACCGACCACAUUGGGACUGAGAUACGGCCCAGACUCCUACGGGAGGCAGCAGUGGGGAAUAUUGCACAAUGAGCGGAAGCCUGAUGCAGCAACGCCGCGUGCGGGAUGACGGCCUUCGGGUUGUAAACCGCUUUCGCCUGUGACGAAGCGUGAGUGACGGUAAUGGGUAAAGAAGCACCGGCUAACUACGUG
rnacentral:rRNA from 1 species